rnacentral:rRNA from 1 species
GACGAACGCUGGCGGCGUGCUUAACACAUGCAAGUCGAGCGGUAAGGCCCUUUCGGGGGUACACGAGCGGCGAACGGGUGAGUAACACGUGGGUGACCUGCCCUCAGCUCUGGGAUAAGCCUGGGAAACCGGGUCUAAUACCGGAUAUGACUCCAUGACGCAUGUUGUGGGGUGAAAGCCUUGUGCGGCUGAGGAUGGGCCCGCGGCCUAUCAGCUUGUUGGUGGGGUGAUGGCCUACCAAGGCGACGACGGGUAGCCGGCCUGAGAGGGCGACCGGCCACACUGGGACUGAGACACGGCCCAGACUCCUACGGGAGGCAGCAGGUGGGGAAUCUUGCGCAAUGGGCGAAAGCCUGGCGCAGCGACGCCGCGUGAGGGAUGACGGCCU